UGGGGAAUAUUGGGCAAUGGGCGCAAGCCUGACCCAGCAACGCCGCGUGAGGGAAGAAGGCCUUCGGGUUGUAAACCUCUGUCCUUGGGGACGAAAAAAAUGACGGUACCCAAGGAGGAAGCUCCGGCUAACAACGUGCCAGCAGCCGCGGUAAUACGUAGGGAGCGAGCGUUGUCCGGAAUUACUGGGCGUAAAGGGUGCGUAGGCGGCAUUGCAAGUCAGAUGUGAAAUCCCCGGGCUUAACUCGGGGGGUGCAUUUGAAACUGCAGUGCUUGAGUGCAGGAGAGGAAAGCGGAAUUCCUAGUGUAGCGGUGAAAUGCGUAGAUAUUAGGAGGAACACCAGUGGCGAAGGCGGCUUUCUGGACUGUAACUGACGCUGAGGCACGAAAGCGUGGGGAGCAAACAG
rnacentral:rRNA from 1 species